CAGGCGAAACGACCCGCUGAAUUUAAGCAUAUAAAUAAGCGGAGGAAAAGAAACCAACAGGAUUCCC
rnacentral:rRNA from 1 species